UAUACACAGUCAUUUUUAACAUGGCAAACUCUGCCUAAUAAAUUAACGUGUCCUUAAAGGGAAAGAGGCGACUACAUUAAGGGUACUUAAGUACUCUGAUUACAUUAACCUAAUAUUCUCUUAUUUGAUAGAACCUUGGCGAUUAGAGGGAGAGAGGCGAGUGAUGACGAUCGUGUUGAUUCUUCCACUAACAGCGUCCUUAUGUUAAUCAUCUUGCGUUGGAGUCUUGGAGAGCUCAUCGGAGUUGUGUACCACGAGGAGGAGCCAGACCUUUCCCAAUGGAGCUAUGUAUAUCUCAGUGGAGCUAUUCCCGAUGUGGCCAAGUUUUCGAUGAAGUCUUUGAUAAAGAAGCAUUAUAUGAGAAGCACCGAAAGUACUCGUGGGACGAUUUGAAACUGUUUGAAUAAUUAUGUUCCCAGUGUAGAGAACGCUCUCACAAGUUUUCUUUUUGACUUCUCUUCUGUCUUUUUGUCCUCUCGUGACUAAGGAAAAGAAUAUAUUAGUAGUGGCAUCAUGGUGGACAGUUAAGCUGUACCUUCACCUGUUAGCAAAUGGUAAGCACACCACUGUAUCUGUUUCGGAGGAGGUCUCCGGAUAUAUUCGUUUGGAAACAAUUCCCAAGCCGAAGCAUUCUGAUACUGUCAUCUAAUACUAAUGGCGUGUACUCAGAUCCAAUUGAUCCUAAGGAGGUCACUGCUGUCCUUUUUGUUGAUGUUAAAGCUCAUUAGUGUUCUGUUUGUCUUAUCUCUAUUUGGAAUGUGUUGUAGCUUCUAAGACACUGUAGAAGAGAUUAGACUCUGGAGAUUUUUCCAUUUUAGAACAAUUUGAGGUAAGAGAAGAACUUGCGAAAAAGGAUUUCGAAAAUUUAAAGCAAGACAAUGCUGAUAUAGAACCACAAAACCAGCCACAACAAUAGCAGCCAAAAGUAUUUCAGAAAUGGCUUAUACCAGUUUUGAAUGACCGUACUACUUCUGAAAUUUCAGCUAAUGCAUUAUCCUUGACCAUUAGCUCUAAAUAAGUUUUUAUUGCUUUGCAGAAACAAUAUUUAAUAAAAUAGUUAAAUAUAAAACACAUAAGCAAUUAGAAAAAUGAGAAAUAAACUUGCACGGGUCAAAAUCUAAAGGACUUUGAAACAAUUUUAUAGUCUUUAAUAACUUGGUCAAUGUAUGUAGAAUUUUUUUUUUGCUUAGAUUAAUUUAACUAAGAGCAAUUUUUUUUUUUGCUAACUGCAAAAGCAGUGUUUUAAAAUAAAUACUAUCAUCUUUGGUCAAAAUUAAAUGUAAUAAAGUGAAAGGCUUUGUAUAAUUGUAAACAAUUCUUUUAAUUUGGAUUUAGUUUAUGGUUCCAACAUAAAAAUACAUUUAGCAAAACUAUUACUUAUAUU